rnacentral:rRNA from 1 species
UACGUAGGGUGCAAGCGUUAAUCGGAAUUACUGGGCGUAAAGCGUGCGUAGACGGUUACAUAAGUCGGGUGUGAAAGCCCUGGGCUCAACCCAGGAAGUGCACUCGAAACUGCUCGGCUUGAGUAUGGAAGAGGGUUGCGGAAUUCCCGGUGUAGAGGUGAAAUUCGUAGAUAUCGGGAGGAACACCAGUGGCGAAGGCGGCAACCUGGGCCAAUACUGACGCUGAGGUGCGAAAGCGUGGGGAGCAAACAGG